CCAAUGUUGUUUAUUCUAUUUGUUUUCUUUUUUUUUAAUUAUUUAGUCUUAUUUUCCCAAUGGCAGCGAUAUGGUAACCACUUCUAAAGGGUUAAUAUAACAAAACCUUUGACAGAAAGAUCGCAAGAAACAAAAUGUUAGAAUAAAAUUGAAGCUUAAUUACAUGAUCAAAAAUAUAAAGCACUAAGAGGACUCCACUGAUGUUUUUUCACAACAGCUGUAUUGAAGUGUCAAAAACCAAAACCAGACAGAACACCCGAGCAACAUGAAACUUCAAUGUACUUCAUUAGCUGAAACACAAAAUCCAAAAAGGUAAAGAUCAAGCACAAUUUACUUCUUGCAACUGGACUGAAACAUACUGCUGAAUAAGGCAACACGGUACAUGUUUUCAUUCAGCUGAACGCCCUGUCAACCUCACAGCACAGUAAAUUUAAAAACAUUUUUCUGCAGUGAAGGUGUUCAAAAAGCUACAAGAUAGUUCGGAAAUUAAACAGAAGCGAUAUAUUUAUGUAUAAUAUAUAAUAUAUGUUUAAGAUACAAAAUAACAUUUAGAGCACU